rnacentral:rRNA from 1 species
GACGAACGCUGGCGGCGUGCUUAACACAUGCAAGUCGAGCGAUGAAGUUUUUUCGGAAAUGGAUUAGCGGUGAACGGGUGAGGAACACGUGAAGAAUCUGCCCUCCACUUUGGGAUAACACAGGGAAACCUGUGCUAAUACCGAAUAUUGAAACAUAAGUGGCAUCACUGAGUUUUGAAAGAAUUUCGGUGGAGGAUGACUUCGCGGCCUAUCAGCUAGUUGGUGAGGUAAUGGCUCACCAAGGCAACGACGGGUAGCCGGCCUGAGAGGGCGACCGGCCACACUGGGACUGAGACACGGCCCAGACUCCUACGGGAGGCAGCAGUGGGGAAUAUUGGGCAAUGGAGGAAACUCUGACCCAGCGACGCCGCGUGCGGGAUGAAGGCCUUCGGGUUGUAAACCGCUUUCAGUAGGGAAGAAGCGAAAGUGACGGUACCUACAAAAGAAGCACCGGCUAACUAUGUGCCAGCAGCCGCCGCAG